CUUUUAGAAGCUUGCAACAGCACUAGCCCUUUAAGCUAAAUAAGCAAGAUAACUUGCCUAAAAGA